GUGUCAGCCGCCGCGGUAAUACGAAGGGGGCUAGCGUUGCUCGGAAUCACUGGGCGUAAAGCGCACGUAGGCGGAUAUUUAAGUCGGUGGUGAAAUCCUGGAGCUCAACUCCAGAACUGCCUCCGAUACUGAAUGUCUUCGAGUCCGGGAGAGGUGAGUGGAACUGCGAGUGUAGAGGUGAAAUUCGUAGAUAUUCGCAAGAACACCAGUGGCGAAGGCGGCUCACUGGCCCGGUACUGACGCUGAGGUGCGAAAGCGUGGGGAGCAAACAGGAUUAGAUACCCGCGUAGUCC
rnacentral:rRNA from 1 species